rnacentral:rRNA from 1 species
UACGGGGGGGGGCAAGCGUUGUUCGGAAUUACUGGGCGUAAAGGGCUCGUAGGUGGCCAACUAAGUCGGACGUGAAAUCCCUCAGCUUAACUGGGGAACUGCGUCCGAUACUGGAUGGCUCGAGUUUGGGAGAGGGAUGCGGAAUUCCAGGUGUAGCGGUGAAAUGCGUAGAUAUCUGGGGGGAAGGCCGGCGGCGAAGGCGCCUAUCUGGGAGAUUCCUGACACUGAGGCGCGAAAGCGUGGGGAGCAAACAGG